rnacentral:rRNA from 1 species
GACGAACGCUGGCGGCAUGCCUAAUACAUGCAAGUCGAACGCUUUUGUUUCACCGGGUGCUUGCACCCACAGAGACAAAAGAGUGGCGGACGGGUGAGUAACUCGUGGGUAACCUGCCCAUAAGAGGGGGAUAACAUCCGGAAACGGAUGCUAAUACCGCAUAUUUCCAAUUGUCUCCUGACAGAUGGAAAAAAGGUGGCUUCGGCUACCGCUUAUGGAUGGAACCGCGGCGUAUUAGCUAGUUGGGGAGGUAAUGGCUCACCAAGGCGAUGAUACGUAGCCGACCUGAGAGGGUGAUCGGCCACACUGGGACUGAGACACGGCCCAGACUCCUACGGGAGGCAGCAGUAGGGAAUCUUCCGCAAUGGACGAAAGUCUGACGGAGCAAUGCCGCGUGAGUGAAGAAGGUUUUCGGAUCGUAAAACUCUGUUGUUAGAGAAGAACAAGGAUGAGAGUAACUGCUCAUCCCCUGACGGUAUCUAACCAGAAAGCCACGGCUAACUACGUGCCAGCAGCCGCCGUAAAAC